rnacentral:rRNA from 1 species
AAAGCUACGCUAAUACCGCAUACGAUCUACGGAUGAAAGCGGGGAUCGCAAGACCUCGCGCGAUUGGAGCGGCCGAUAUCAGAUUAGGUAGUUGGUGAGGUAAAGGCUCACCAAGCCGACGAUCUGUAGCUGGUCUGAGAGGACGACCAGCCACACUGGGACUGAGACACGGCCCAGACUCCUACGGGAGGCAGCAGUGGGGAAUUUUGGACAAUGGGCGCAAGCCUGAUCCAGCAAUGCCGCGUGCAGGAUGAAGGCCUUCGGGUUGUAAACUGCUUUGUACGGAACGAAACGGUGAGCUCUAAUACAGUUUGCUAAUGACGGUACCGUAAGAAUAAGCACCGGCUAACUACGUG